CGCGCACGCACACAGAGGCGCGUACCUUGCUGCCUGGGGCGGGGCUUCCAGGCGACGGCGGAAGUAAGUGCCAUUUUAAAAUGCCCUAAGGACACCUUGAAAUUCUGGAUACUGUUGUGUUGUUGAACUAUGGUCACAGCACCAACUAAGUUUAUAUUAAAGGGAAAAAUAGAAAGUGAGAAACAUUAGGUCAAAGCCUUCCCCAGCAACAGUGAUCAUUUCCAGAAGACGUAUGAAGAGUCAAGUUAAAGGCUUCUUACUAAUCUUUCAAACUUGCAUAAUCUUUUGACCACUGCAUUGAAAAAGGGUAUAUAUGAAUCAGUGACUUAGGCACAUGAGUCUCUGUUCACAGCUCUUGGAACCACCUAAACCACAGUAAACACAAAGCCCUAUCACUGCUGUGAGCAGAAGCUCACAUCUUGACUUCUGUGGGGGAUGGACAUGUACAUCAAAGAGCACAAUCAAAUCUAAGUGAAGAACGAAGACAACAGCUGCUAGUGUUGCUUAUUUAUUAUGGUGAGCCCUGUAAGAGUCUAAUUUUGCCUUCUUCACUAGACUACUGCUGUACACACACUAUUUUUCUGGAAAAGGAGUCAGCUCUUUUCUAUUUCUUGUAUUUCAAAUGCAGAGUUGCACAACUGAGCAGCCAGACUUUCUUGCUGUAAUUCAUGCUGUAGAGCAUCCUACCCACUAAAAUGAAUGGGAACUCUAAUGAAACUAAGAUGUAAGGAUGACAAAAUCUGCCUUGGAGUAAAAAUGGAAAUGCCAACUGUGCUAUUCAAAAAAAAAGCCGUGAUAUAAAUGAGAGAACAACUGUGAGUCCUACCAUUAUGGGAUAUAACUCUUGCUGCGGUUCCUCAAAUUGCCUCAUUUGCCUUGACGUUAUGAUGGAUUGCACAGAAACGAUGCAUGUACCAAUGUUGAGUCUGCUGGGGAAAAGUUGUCCUUUCAGAAAUGUUUCAAUAAGCUGGAGCUGCCAAAACGAGUUUGCAUCACUUCAGUUUUUUGCAUCACUUGGACACACUUUUGAGCACCCUAAAACUGAAUUUUCCAGCCUUUGGAUCUGUGGUGUGUCUUUUAGUUACUGAUACUUUGGCAGCUCUGGUACUUUGGCUAGGCCUGUGUGCUGAAGGCAAACCUGCAUCAAGGACAAGUGGCUCAGGGCUCCUGCCCUGCUUCAAUGUCCACAACAGCUUCAAGUCAUUGGAGGGCUUUGUUUCAACAUUUUAUUUGUGGCGUUGUGAAACUUGUGAGUGGAGAAAACAGUAGGUAUGAUACACUGGGGUUUUAAUAUUCAGGAUUGUCUACAAGAUUAAUUUUCAGUGAACCCUCAUUAAUUUUUACUUAAUGACUUGAUUUUCUAAAUAUAUAGUGGUAAAUUUUCUUUUUUAUCAUUUGUUUACUUCUAGUUUCUGUUUGCCCAAUCACGCAUAUGAUCAUACACCUAAAUUAAAGUCCAAGGUAUGUCUGAUUUUUGUUAACCCAUUGAGAAAAUAUAUCCUUAACUUUAAGAAUUUUACAUUUGAUGAACUAAAUGUAAUGAUCCAGGUGUUACCUUCUCAGAGAAAGGGAUGACUUCUGAUUGGGCUCAUUAUUUACAAUACAAGCUUGCCUAACGAGAGCCUGCUUUCAGCUUUGCCAUGAUAAAACCCAUGAAAUUCUGCGUGAUUUUGGGUUAUUGGUUUACACUAAUAAAAGAACUGAUGCAGUAUUCUGCUGGCAAUAGUAGUAGCUGUAGUAUCACUCUUAUGAACUAUGAUGUGAACUGUUGCUGUGGAUACAUACCUGGAAAGUUGCAUGCAGUAAGCCUCAUCCAUUUGACCAACCUCUUCACAUUUCCCCACUGCUGUAUCAGUUCAUGCAAUUGCCAUAUUGUAAUCUGUCUGUCCUGCUGUGGUCCUGGCAUCAGACAGGUCUGAUCUGGGAUCACCUAAUUAUCUGUGUCUGGCAUAUAGGUUGGGUAUAUGAAAGGUGAAGGCACGCAGAGGAGGCUGGCUAGGAAUGGGUGUUGUGUGGCAGUAGUUUAGUGACAAGAGCUCUCCAUUCUGAGUGACAAACCACUACUUGACCUAAUGCAUUAUUAGUGUCCACAUGCCUUAUCCCAUGUGGUGCCACACAAUGGGACAUAGCAAACUUGGGAGAUACAGCACCAAGAGCUCAUUCCCUCCACAGAGUCCAACAGAGCGGAAGACUUCAACACAAGGUUAGGUCCAUGCAGAAGAGUGCUGUCAGUGAAGGGAACUGGCUGCCAUUCAGCCAUGUCUGUGUUAGAUGCCUUGCUCCAGACUUUCCAGAUUCAUUCCCCAGGGGUGCAGCAAUGCAUCCCCCUUUUGCUGCCAGCACAGUAGUAUUGCCUCCUCAGUGUUUUGACAACCUGGCACGAUUUCUGGUAUAGUUAAUAGGUAUUUGGUGUAAUAGCAAGACGUGUGAUAUUUAUUCCCCUCAUAUUCCACACUGAUUCAGCAAUGCUGGAACUUUGUAACACAGGACACCCUUCAGUGGUAAGUCUGGUAGAAAAUCGAGAUUGCUGAAAUGGUAUUGGAGUGUCAUACCCUCUGAACCAUGCUAGAUAGCUGCUAAUUGUGUUGUAAAUUCUAUGUGUUGAUUUUUCUGCUGGAAGAAGAGGCAUCUAGUGUAAAACCACCCUUGACUGCAGAAGCAAUUUGCUGAUACAUUAGAAAGACAGAGAAAAGAGGAAGAAAUAGAAAAUGAAUGAGCCUGAGCAGAGUGCUGACCAACCAAAUACCCUCUUCAGCAGAAAGAUACACAGAUACAUUCUUAAGUUCCUAAAGCUUUUUUGAGUGUUAAAACUUCAUUGUAAAUCUGUUCAAUUAAAUGGGAUCCUACCAAAAUGGUGAUGUACUCAGCUACGCAUAUCUUUUCUGGUGAGCAUAUCCAACAACACUGCAAUGAUGCCCUAGUGACAAGGGGUAUCCGUACCUG